UUAGCACCUUAUAGAAUUGUACCUGAGGCAUCUACAGAAAGCAUGUACCAUGUAAUCUCUCCCCAAAGAGGGGGCUUUGGUGACAAUACUAAUGCAAGCUCUGUGACGCAGGGACAGUCUCUUGCUCAACCUUGUAUCCUCAUAGCACAGAGUACAUCGUGUCCUUUCUAGCCCCUCAUUGAAUCCUGGCCCUGUUGAAUUCAAUUACCAAUCUAAAAGAAGCUAACUUUAAGACCAUUUUACAUUUCCAAGAUCAGUUCAGGAUAUUAGGUUUUCCUGGAAGUGGGGUGGGAAGGGAGAUCUGACAUUGUUUAUGACUCUGGCUAAGAGGAAUGCUAGUACUGAACUAAAUAAAAUAUUGUCAGCAUCAUGUUCUCUUAGACAAAAGAAUAUUCCUAGAAUCAAUUUAGGAAAAGAAAAGAAAAGAGGGCAAAAGUGAAAACAAAAACUUUCUGAGAAGUGGAAUUAAGGGACAAAUCACUUUUUACAUCUAAUUUCUUAGUCUCUAAAAUAGGAGUAAUGUUACCUACUUCAGAGUAGGUUAUGAUGAAGGUAACUCAAGAUAAUGUUUGUAAAGCAAUAGCAUAGGGCCUCUCACAUUUAAUGACCCGAAUACAUGGUAACAGUACCUAAAUUACUGUUAUUGUUCCUGCUGCUGUUACUUUUACAUCAGAGUGCGGUUGUCGGUAUAGGUCAGGAAAUCUGUGUUGUGCUUGUCAUCACCAUAGUGAGGCUAUUAGGAGAGUAAUGUUGGAAAAGGAUGUGAGAAAAGCAUGUAUUCUUGAAUGACGUGUCUUAUCCCCAAAUGUUCUUCUUUCAUGGGGAUUUUUUCUUACUAGUUUAUGACUUUCAGCCACCAUUAAGAAAUUCUUUGGGAAAGCAAUAAGCUGAGAUAUGAUUCUUUUGCUCUCUACUAAGUCAAGAAAUGUAAUCUCUCAUGUACCAAAGACAUUUUGCAAUUUUGUUAAAGUUAAUUUUUACUUAGCCAAUGUGAUAGAAUAGAUUAUUUUGUGUGACUUGUCCCAUGUUACUGUUUCUAUUAGUUACGCGAUUGUGUGCAGGACUUGGAAAAUGAAACACAGAUUCAUGGGAUUCCCUUGCUGUGGGCCAGUUUGCAUGCUGUGAGUGGGUGUGAGGGUGUCUUCUGAAGGGAGGAGAAUUCUCUUCUGUCAGCUUUCUAUCCAGGGCAGAAAAUAAGUCAUAGCUUGAUCCUAUCUUUAUAAAAGAGAACACUUCCUUUUUCUUGGGACCUACAUGAUUUGGUGGCCUCAAUAAUAGCUAAAAAUCAACAUCAGUCCUUCAGUGCACAGAGGUUGGGUGGGCCCUUCAUGGCAAAAUGCAGGGAGCCUAAGGAAAGAGAGAGCCUGUGAAAAACCCUAGGAGAUAUCCCCUCUAGAAGCUAGUUUUGAAUAUUCUCUACUUGUAUUUUAACUGCCUCCUCUUCUGCCCAGUACUACCACAGUCCUUUGGUAAACACUGCUGCAUGGUCUUAGCUGGUACUUUAAAGAAUUACCAAUGCCCAUAUGGGAGAAUCUACUGUCCAUACCUAGGGAGGAAGGAAGUUAUGAAAUGGUAAAGGAUGAAGGACUACAAGAAAAGAAAUAGCAGUCCAGAGCAAGAAAGCUGGCUGGGGCUUCCAGGGAUGACCAAGUAGUUUAAUGGAACAUAAAAGCAUUCUUAAGAGAAUUCUUAAAAAUUUGCAUAAAGGUGGUAGACAGGUAGAGAAGAAUCUUGUAUGACCACAUCUCCACAUUGCACAGAAUGGAACUGUUACUGUGUUUGUUGUCUUCAUUGUUUGAAUUAAAAGAGAAAAUUACCUAGAAAGUGGGAGAGGUUGCUGGCAUUAAAGCUGAAUUAACUUGGUAGGGCUACCAUAACAAAUACCACAGUCUGGGUGGCUUAAACAAUAGACACUUAUUUUCCUGCAGUUCUAGAGGCUGAGGAGUUCAAGAUCAAGGUGCCGGCAGGUUUGGCUUCCCCUGAGGCCUCUUCCUUUGGCUUGCAGAGGGCCAUCUUCCCGCUGUGUUCUCACACAGGGCCUUUCCUCUGUGAAUGUGCAUUCCUGGUGUCUCUUUCUCUUCAUAAGAAUAUGAGAUUAGGGCCCCUUCCAGGCAUAUGAGAUUAGGGCCCCUUCUGAUGGCCUUAUAACCACCUCUUUAAAAACCUAAUCUUCAGAUAUAGCCACAGUACUGGGGACUAGGGCUUCAACAUAUGAAUUUAGAGGGAUUGAGGGGUACAAUUCAGCCCAUAACAAGCGUUCAUACAGAUGUUAAAAUGCAUUCAUGUUUCAGCUCUAAAGUCUGGAAAAAUAUGACAUGAUGGCCAUCGACGUCAGGGUACCAGCCUCUUUCCUCCUUACUCUGAUACUCUCCCUUGCCCUCUGCAAAGCAUGGCAUCAUCUUUAACUGACUGCCAUUCUGGAAACCCUAGGCUGUCUUCUAGAUGCUAACUCUCUAGAAGAUUUUAAUAGAGAGACCUCCAUUAAAGGUCACAGGAGUAGGGGGAUGGAAAGGACUGCAGGGGCGAAAUCAGGAAAGGAAGGAAAUGCCUCUAGGCCCAGCAUGUAAGAGCAUGCUUAAGAGAUGACAGGCUGUGCUGCAGGUGAAUCUGCUUCCUACACUCGACUUCCCAAAUACCUCUGGAGGAAUCCAGUACCUCAUUCAAAUGCCCUCAAGGCUAAGCACUCUCACCCAGUCUCUCAACAUUUCUCUGGCAGGUUUCCAGUACUUCAUUCUUCCUGUUAAUGGUGACAGAAAAUGACACAAAGCAUCCAGGAUGUUGAUAUGCCACUUGCUUCACAGUUUACUUCAAAGUCCCCUCAGAGUUUUCUGAAUUUUACUUUCUGGAACAAGAAAUAUUACUGGCAUAAGCAUCAAGUAUGCAGUUAGUCUUGAUGGUGAACAAGUCCUGAACUUUUGAUUUGGAAGCAAUCUGUCAGCAAGUAAUAGCCAAGGCCCUGUAGUAAUAGGCUUAGUUGGGCCAGGCUUAUUUCUCUAAUUCACUGAUUGUCUUACAUCAAAACAGCAAAAAAAAGUUUAAAAACAUGAUGAUUUUUCUACUGACUUGUCUACUGUGACUUUUAUUCUUAUACUGUAAUAUGACCUGGCAUACCGGGACUUUUAUUCUUAUACUGUAAUAUGACCUGGCAUACCGGGACUUUUAUUCUUAUACUGUAAGAACCUGGCAUUACCCCGGGUUCUCCUUUAGUCUCCUUGGUUGAGGAUGGCACUAGGGAGAUCUAUUUAACUCAUCAAAUCAUAAAAGCUAGACAGAACCAUAAGAAAUUGUUCUGUUAAAUCUCCCUGCAAGGCUUCAAUGAGGCACAACCAUCAAAGUUUUCCAGGGAAGAAAGGCAGUGUUGUCUGUAUAUUUAGCCGUCAGAAAGGUUUUCCUGUGUCAAAGUCGCUCUCCUGCUAGUGUCUGAACUUGAAUUACCUCUAAAUCUUGCCAAAUUCCCUGCCCCACAUCCAGUCUCAGGAAGAAAGCCUGGUAUUUCAAUAUUUUCCAACAAAAUACACAAACCGAACUCCCAACAUUGACCCUGGAUGACCUAUGAAAUCCUGAUUUCCAGUUUCCACAGCUAGAAGAGCCCUUAGCCUAUGGCUGCUCCAGAAAUCAUUGUUUAAUGCAUGACUCAUUCAGUCAGUCCUUGAAAUCUGAAGAUUAGUGUUGAUCAUGAAUGUGAAUUUCUGGGGAAUACGCUCUGUAAUUUUUUUGAAGUCCAAUUGUUUUUAUUAUAAUCUGUGAAAAAUGUAGUUGCUUAUUUAUUUUAAGCUGUUUGCAUCUCACUUUACUGUGUCUCUGAUAGGUGAUCAAACAUACUUUGCCGUAUUCCCCUUUCUGUGGUGUCCUUUUCUGCUUUCUUCCACUCAGUCUCAGCAAAGAUCCCUGUUUUCAAGAACAUCAUCCACCUGACAAUGCCCUUUGCCUCCCAUCUGGCAGCUCAGCGAUGGUGUCCACCAGUCCUGGCUCUGAACUGGAUUAUGCUGUCGGACCAAAUUGCCGCUCUUUUUAAUUACUUGCUCUUGAGGAAGCCAAAAGUUAUGGGGACACUCAAGCAGCACUGGAGAGACGCUCAUGAGUAGAAGAACUGAGGCAUCCUGCACACAGCCGUGGACAAAACUAUAUUGGGAGCAGAUUGUCUAGCCCCAGGUAAGUCUUCAGAUGAUGGCUUUUUUUUAAAAUAAUUUUUUUUAAAGAAAGGUAAUUAAAUUUAAGGAAGACUUAUUAUAGCCAGCGGUUAAUAGCCAAAAAGGUGGUGGUAUGUCAUUUUUAAGAAUUUUCCUUCAGGUUGAACAAAUUUUAAUGAUCUGGUAAACAGUUAGAAUUUAGAUCUGCCCCAAGGUUCCUUUCUCUUAAUGAGAUUAAAAGUUUAGGGUAAAUAGGAAACUUAACCAAAACCUGAGAGGUGCAUUAAUUUCAAAUUCAGCUCAGUAACCCCCCAAUUUAAAAGUUCUUCCUGCCAUAACACACAUAUCAAGACCCAAGAUUUCUCAGAGAGCAUCUGAUGCUCACUCUCCAGAGGCUGAGCUCCCAUUGCAGGGGCAAUGUUACCUUUAGCUCCUCUUUUCUCUCUCUGGCUUUAAUCUUAGAGGUCUGUUCCUUAGUCUCUGUUGAGGUGAAACUGCAGUAUCUGAACGCAACCAGCCAAGUAAGCAACUUUAAUACAAGCCAAGUUAAAGUUUCACUUCCAUAAUGGACAAGGAGAGACCAGAAGACAUUUCUCAUGCACAGGGAGUGCAUAAAUCCCCUGAAUUGCCAGGUUUCAGGGUCACAUGAGACCUCUAGAAGGCUCUGAUAAUCAUCACUUUGUCAUCUUGUAGGUUCCAGGUAUCUGGGUACACAAGAACUAAGCCUUAAUGACUUUAAAUUCUGUCUCAAAUUUUUAUCCUCUUACAAGUUUAAGCUUUUUGUCUGAGUAAAAGUGCAAAUAUUCCAUGAAGAAGUGAGGUCAGAUCUCUUUUGGCAGGGAUAAAGAAUACCGCAGAGUGGGUCUUAAUGGCAAGGAGUGAGAAUAAGUUUUGAAGUGUAUGGGAAUGCCUUGGAAGGGAGAAAACGUGUAGAAAUAAAAGGAUCUUGGUCUAAUUCUCCUUUGUGUCCAGAGGCAGCUCUGCAAAUAUCAUCUUAAUGAGCCACUGCCUAGCCCCUAAUCUCAUAAAAUCCUCAAAAGGGAAAACGCAUGAAUGGCAGAGCUGAUUCUCUCUUUUGAUAUUUGCCCUUGGGUUUGCUGGCCUGACUUCUGGGGCUCUGGGAACACAUGAAUUAGCAAGAACCAGAGAAGGCAUUCAAAAAUAGUCCUCUUCAAUGAUGAGCCAAAUCAGACAGUUACCUUACAGCUUGCAUAUUUAUUGAACAAAUACUACUAAAAUAGCUAAAAUACAUUGGGUACUUGUCAUGAGUGCAUCAGUAAAGAUCACAUUGUUACAAAAGCCUGCAUUUUCAGCAGUACACAACUGCAACUCUACAUAAAUGCCACAGAUGCAGAAUACUGUUUUCUUGCUCUAUUUACACAGCUGAUAUACCUAAUGAAGGAGGGAGAGGAGGAAUGCACAAGAAACUCAGGCCAAUGGGGGAGCAAGAAGAAAACGAAGAAGUGCAGCGCAUGCGUCAUCGGUGUUUAACAGUCAGAAGCGGAACAGUUCAGAACAAGGCCUGCCCUGUCAAAAGAAGAGCUAAAAGACAGUUAUAUAAAAAUUAAGGUGGGCUUUCAGACUGGCUAACACAACAACAUUCCAUGAGUAGAUGGUAUUUUAUUUUUGUUUAUCCAUUUCAUUGGGAGCAAGAACAAAAAUGUAAAUCUACACCUUGCUUAUCAAAAUUGCCAAAAAAGGAGUGCUCUGCCUUUCAAAAAAGUACAAUUAUUUUGGAAAGACAUUGUUUUCCAAUUUAGUAUUUGGAGAGGAUGUCAUUUUCAUAUUCCUACUCAGAUGCCAGUGUUUUGGAUUUUUUCAGGGGAAUUUACUUAAAAAGGUUUUGCUCUUUGUUUCCCCAAAUGUCCUUUCAAACAAAGAACCCAAAGAGACACCUCAAAAUGCCUGUAAAAUUAUUGCUUUUCUUUCUCUAAGUCAGGCAGGCGAGGCUACGGAAAGGAAGAGAUUUGGUAAGUAAAUUACAGUUUUGUGAUUGCUCCCGCUACCGUGACUGCAUGUCUGUAAGUGCCAGCCAACGAGACAUCGUCUCUCACACUCUGGUAGCAUUUACUCAACCUACAACACUGAGGGAGAAAGCCACACUGAAGACACAAGGAAAACAAGUCAAUCCAGUCUAGAGAACAACAUUCAGGGAAACAGA